AGCUCUUUCAUUUUAGCAAAAUUGUCAUUGACAUCUACUUGGGAGAGAAGAGCAGCAGCAGUCAUAUGCCCAGUGUAGUUUUUACUUGCCUGAACGCAGACCAAAUCCCUGCAGUUCAUCUCUGCAUUUCCCAGUUUACCUAGCAGAAGGCCUUGGACAUAAUGGGAAAUCAGUGAAUUUCUAAUAAAUGGACGGAUUCCUUCCAUAAAGAAAGGAGCUGAAAAGAUGACUAAUCAAGGCAAUUACCAGGGCCGGGACCCCACAAACCUCAGUUCUCUUUUAUCAACUGGAUCCCUGUGAGGAUUUGCCAAUAGAGGGCGAGAGAGGGAGACUCUGAGGCUGGAGCCAGAAGGGCAACCGCUCCCUAUGCACUUCGAUUCCUUUUUGUCUUACUGUUCCCUGGACAACCAUCCAGCAAUGGAACUUCACCCCAGCGGCAUCAGCGGAUUGCUCCACUAGCACAGGUGAGUCUCGUGUAUAUUCUUAACAACACGUGCAGAACCAGCACCAUUACACCCCCUAGACACCCCAGCACCAGCCAACCAGCGCCCCAUCCUAGAGGUCUGGGCCUUUCCCAAGGAUGCAGCCUUCAAGUUCCUAAGGCAAUGGUACAGCCGAGCAGUAACCUUCCUCAGAGGCGUGAGUCAGCUUUGCAGGACCCGUUCUCAAGCUUCUGCACCUUCAGGGCCUCAAACUCUUCCAUUUAUUCUCCAGUUUUAGGAUGAUAGCUGCUUCCCAGGACAGCUACUUCCUUAGUGUUUGUUCCUUGCCUUUUCAUUUUUUCAAUACCUGGUUGAUGAAUCUUGAUGUGAAGUUCUCUGUUAAAAUAACUGGUGCCAUUUCUGUCUCUUGACUGAUACCAUUCACCUUACAACCCUAUGAGGUUAUAUCCAUUUUUCAGAUAAGAAAAUGGAAACCUAGAGUAGAUGAAUAACUGGACUGAAGCCACAAACUAGUAUGAGACAAGAAUAGGGCUUAAACCCAAGUCUUUUCUGGUCACAAAGCCAUUGCUCUUUCAUUUUAUUUUAUUUUGUCUUUUCUAGGACUACACCAGUGGUAUAUGGCAGUUCCCAGGCUAAGGGUCUAAUCGGAGCUAUAGCUGCCGGCCUACACCACAGCCACUGUAACUCGGGAUCCAAGCUGCAUCUGCGACCUACAUACACUACACCUCAUGGCAACGCCGGAUCCUUGACCCACUGAGCAAGGUCAGGGAUCUAACCCACAACCUCAUGGUUCCUAGUCGGAUUCAUUAACCACUGAGCCAUGACGGGAACUCCCAGCCAUUGCUCUUUUAAACACAGCGUAGUUCUGCAAUGUGAAGGCAGCUCUAGUCAAAAGCUCUCUGUCCUCUUCCAGCACUGAUAUUAAAAUGGGUAGAAGCAAGGUAGGUCGUGUAAAUGCAAAAGUGAGCGCACCUGGCAGCUUUAAGAAGAUUUAUGACAUUGGGCCCACGUGAAUUCUAUUCCAAAGCACUGAAGGGACCGGCAGACAUGAUUUAAGAUACUGUAGUAAUCUCAAAAAAAAAAAAAAAGCAACUUGGGAGCUGCUUGACUCGUGGGCAAAGGUUAAAGACUCUUCCUUUUUCUAAAAUGGAUCUACAGAUAUUCAGUCUUCACAUUAAUCCCCAGCAAAAAUCUAGGAUUUCCUGUGUGUGCUUUUAACACAACCACCUGAUUCCUGAGAACAAGCAUGUGGAACCAACUAAGCUCAUUUACAUGCACAAAGUGCUUCGGGACGUGCUCUCAGGUAAAACAGUGAAGUGAGGAAUGGAUGAGGAUCAAGUUUUGUGUGUAAACAUGCUUGUCUGGAAAUAAGAAAAUAAGGGCAAAAUUCGAGGCAGUGUCGGCUGUAACUUUCAAAAGACAGAGCAGAGAGCAAACGCCAGUCUUCAUCGUCACUGCCAGCCAGGCUCCUCCUGUGUCUCCCAGGGGAAUGUAUCCAGGCUGGAGUGGGACCAACAAGAAAGAGGUCAUCAAGGUUGUCCUGAGGAUCAGACAUGGAAGGUAAGGCGGACCUGGCGUUUAUUACUAGAGAGAUGAGAGAAAUCUUCCAGACCUUGCUGUCAGAGGCUCCUUUCUAAGGGAGGAGCUCCAGGUUUCUCUUUGCAUCCCUGUCUCCAAGUGGUUAAGAUGGCAACCAUUGUAGUCAUUUGUUGGUUUUGCUGCCAUCAUCCAUUCCUCCUCCCUCUGGCAGCAGUUCCUUGAUCGUUCUUUGUGGGAACACUCUUUGCUUCAUUGGCUACAUUCUCUGUGAACAUCAAGAAGUCCCACUGCCAGCCCCGGCCUGAAGUGAGUAUGGGUCCCAAGGCAGGUCCGUCAGAUUCUCUCCCUUAAAAUAUGAAUCCCUGAUCAGAAACAAAAGACGAAAAACAGUUGUUGCUGGAACAAUAGCAGCGCCUUGAAAGACUGUUCAUUGGUUCCUGCUGUUUGGAUACACACAAGCUGCCUCUGUUCUGCUCUCUCUGGGUCUGAUUCUUCCAUUUCCUCAUCAGUUUUCUGAGCUACUCCAUUUCCCUUAAAUAGAUCCAUUUUCAGAUAGGGCUUUUGUUCAUUAGUUUGCUUGCUUGCAGCUGAGGAAUCUUCACUGAUUCCACAAGUUGUGCUGGUAAGGGAAAAUUUAAAGCUUUUCUGUAAACGUUACAGGACUCUCGUUCUAGGCUGUCUCUAGUUACACAUACCCACCACAGAGAUAUGGGGAAGCACAUCGUAACUUUUGUACAUCCAGGGACUGAGUUCAUCUCGUUCACCAUUAGAUCUGAAGUGCCCAGCACAGUGGUAGAUGAUACAUAAAAUUAGUUGCAUGAAUAAAUGGAAAUAGAAGGAACUUUCCAAUGGUUAGUUUAAUAGUGGAAUUACUAUACCAUGGAGUAGUGAGCUUUCUGUCACUUCAGAGAUUUAAAUAGAGCCUAGAUCUCUUAAGAUGAUGGGGAAAAAAGGAUUCCUUCAUUGAGUAGGUGGUUUCCACAAAGCAUUCUAAUUCUGGAUUUGUAAUUCCAUAAUUACUUCUUAUUUGCUCUUAGGAAAUACAUCUUAAAGCAAAAAUAGAACACUGUGUGCAUUAAGAUAAUAUAUAGAGUAGGAACUCCCACUGCGGUGCAACAGAAUUGGUGGCCUCUCUAGAGGGCUGGGAUAUAGGUUUGAUCUCUGGCCCGGCACAGUGGAAAACGAUCCAGCGUUGCUGCAGCUUUGGCUUAGAACGAGACUACGGCUCAGAUCUGACCCCUGGCCCAGGAACUCCAUGUGCCUCGAGUAGCCAAAAAAGAAGAAAAAAAAAA
rnacentral:lncRNA from 1 species